AAUAUAAUGGGGCUACAUGGAUCUGAACUGGGUCAAGUCAGGAUUUACAUCCGAGCUUCUAUCUCUAACAGUGCUAACAGUGGAUGAAGACUUUGGCAGAUUUUAUCUCCAGAGUUUGAAAUCUUCUGUAAAAUUUCUAAGUUGGACUGCAGUUUUGUUAAGAUGUGACCUGGCUAUAACUCACAGCUGUUUCUAUGAAGGGAAAUAAUACAGCUGGAAUUUCAUCUUCAGCUGCUCUAGGAAUAAAUCAAAUCCGGGGCCCCUUUAUCUGCACAGCCUCAUGAAUGCUGUUACUGACACAGAACAAAUUGCCUUGCCGCUUCACUGGACAUGCAGUGGGCAGAAGUGGGAACCUGAUACACUACUGGACAGCCCAUGACUGAAAUCUCUUGAGUAUGUCUGAAUCGGGAAGAAAAUACAGUCCUUUAAGAUAGUUUAUUAUUAUAUCAUGUUUAUGUUGUGUGUUCUUAAAGUUUCGUUCCGUAUACAUUUGGGAAAAGGAAGAAUUAAGUACAACCAUUCACAAAAUUUAUGUAAUGAUCUUCAGGAUACAUAACAGGGUGUUUUCUUAGGGUAUUUUUUAAUUAUUAAUGAGAAGUCCAUGUCAAAACUUUCUAAAGCUGACAAGUUUCAGCAUUAAAAUGGGUAGCAUUUGUUACUGUCUAUUUUAAAAUAAUGUAAUUUUGGAUUAGAAUGAACUGCACUGGAGAAAUUCUUUGGCAACCUCAAAUUGUUUUAGUUUGAGAAUAAAUACAUGUUUUCUUACAAGCCAGUUGUUCUCACCUUUCAUAAGCACAUGACAAAAAACUAUCUGUUGUACAAUAUAAAGCUCAUGAACCAUAUCCUCACUGAAAACGAGACCCCAAACAGACGAAGAACCUACGCAACUUUGUGGGGAGGAAUGUGGCC
ensembl:lncRNA